CCAGACUCCUACGGGAGGCAGCAGUGAGGAAUAUUGGUCAAUGGCCGAGAGGCUGAACCAGCCAAGUCGCGUGAGGGAUGACGGCCCUACGGGUUGUAAACCUCUUUUGCCGGGGAGCAAAGAGCGGGACGCGUCCCGCCUCGAGAGUACCCGGAGAAAAAGCAUCGGCUAACUCCGUGCCAGCAGCCGCGGUAAUACGGAGGAUGCGAGCGUUAUCCGGAUUUACUGGGUGUAAGGGGCGUGUAGGCGGGACUGCAAGGCAGAUGUGAAAACCACGGGCUCAACCGGGGGCCUGCAUUUGAAACUGUAGUUCUUGAGUACUGGAGAGGCAGGCGGAAUUCCUAGUGUAGCGGUGAAAUGCGUAGAUAUUAGGAGGAACACCAGUGGCGAAGGCGGCUUUCUGGACUGUAACUGACACUGAGGUACGAAAGCGUGGGGAGCAAACAGGAUUAGAUACCCCUGUA
rnacentral:rRNA from 1 species